CGGGGCGUAGCGCAGUGGUAGCGCGCCGCGUUUGGGACGCGGAGGUCGCAGGUUCGACUCCUGUCGCCCCGA
rnacentral:tRNA from 1 species